GUCCCCCUGUACAUGGCAUUGUGAGGUCACAUCUUGAGUUCUCCGUCCAGUUUUCGGCCCCUCAGUUUGGAAGGACGUGCUGGAGCAGAGAAGGGUAAUAGAAUUGUUGGAGAGUCUGGAGUACAUGUCCUGUGAGGAGCAGGGAUUAAUUAGCCUGGAGAAGAGGAGGCUCAGGAGAGACCUUAUAACUCUCUACAACUCCCUCACUGGAGGCUGCAGCAAGAUGAGGGUUGGCAUCUUCUCCCAGGCAACAACUGACAGGAUGAAAGGAAACAGUCAUAAGCUGCAUGAGGGGAGUUUAGGUUGGACAUCAAGAAGCAAUUAUUCACGGAAAGGCUACAGAACUUUGCUUCUCUGUACCUUCUGCCUGGCCUUAAAUCCUGAGAUCAGAGGCAUUGUGAAACUCUAAAACAGAAGAUUUUCAUUAAAAGUGACUGUUUAA